GAUGAACGCUGGCGGCGUGCCUAAUACAUGCAAGUCGAGCGAACAGACGAGGAGCUUGCUCCUCUGACGUUAGCGGCGGACGGGUGAGUAACACAUGGAUAACCUACCUAUAAGACUGGGAUAACUUCGGGAAACCGGAGCUAAUACCGGAUAAUAUAUUGAACCGCAUGGUUCAAUAGUGAAAGACGGUUUUGCUGUCACUUAUAGAUGGAUCCGCGCCGCAUUAGCUAGUUGGUAAGUUAACGGCUUACCAAGGCGACGAUGCGUAGCCGACCUGAGAGGGUGAUCGGCCACACUGGAACUGAGACACGGUCCAUACUCCUACGGGAGGCAGCAGUAGGGAAUCUUCCGCAAUGGGCGAAAGCCUGACGGAGCAACGCCGCGUGAGUGAUGAAGGUCUUCGGAUCGUAAAACUCUGUUAUUAGGGAAGAACAAAUGUGUAAGUAACUAUGCACGUCUUGACGGUACCUAAUCAGAAAGCCACGGCUAACUACGUG
rnacentral:rRNA from 1 species